UACGAAGGGGGCUAGCGUUGCUCGGAAUCACUGGGCGUAAAGCGCACGUAGGCGGACUCUUAAGUCGGUGGUGAAAUCCUGGAGCUCAACUCCAGAACUGCCUUCGAUACUGGGAGUCUCGAGUUCGGGAGAGGUGAGUGGAACUGCGAGUGUAGAGGUGAAAUUCGUAGAUAUUCGCAAGAACACCAGUGGCGAAGGCGGCUCACUGGCCCGAUACUGACGCUGAGGUGCGAAAGCGUGGGA
rnacentral:rRNA from 1 species